AGGUCAUGAUGGGGGCAUUGCCUCAACAUACUCUUGAAUUUGUCCCAGGCUUCAAAUAAUGAUUAUGAGUCCACCUGUUUGAAGCUUGCAAUCAAAUUCCUCAUGU